rnacentral:rRNA from 1 species
UACGUAGGGGGCAAGCGUUGUCCGGAAUCAUUGGGCGUAAAGCGCGUGUAGGCGGCCAGAAAAGUCCGCUGUGAAAACUCGAGGCUCAACUUCGAGCUGUCGGUGGAAACUUCUGGCUAGAGUCCGGAAGAGGAGAAUGGAAUUCCUGGUGUAGCGGUGAAAUGCGCAGAUAUCAGGAAGAACACCCGUGGCGAAGGCGGUUCUCUGGGACGGUACUGACGCUGAGACGCGAAAGCGUGGGGAGCGAACAGG